ACAUACAACCAUAUGCGGUAGAAAAUAAUCACGGGAUUCCAUCCACUCUUCCUUAGUCAAGCUACUGACGGCCAACUAGUAGUUGGGUCAGUGAAUUUGUGGUCUGUGGUGUUGUAUGUU
rnacentral:rRNA from 1 species